AGGGAGGCGGGGUUUAUCUCAUACACGGUUAGUAGUGGAGUUACGUCCCUUUAUAUUCCUUAUUAGGUAAGAAGGGGGCGGGGCUUAUUUAAUACACGGUUAGUAAUGGUGUUAUGUCCCUUUGUAAAAAACAAAACGGUACUGAGAAAAAAUCUUAAAAGUUCCAACAGACGAAGAAAUUGAUGAUUCAGAUUGAAACAAAUUCAUAAAAC
rnacentral:lncRNA from 1 species